GAUGAACGCUGGCGGCGUGCCUAAUACAUGCAAGUCGAGCGAACAGACGAGGAGCUUGCUCCUCUGACGUUAGCGGCGGACGGGUGAGUAACACGUGGAUAACCUACCUAUAAGACUGGGAUAACUUCGGGAAACCGGAGCUAAUACCGGAUAAUAUAUUGAACCGCAGGGUUCAAUAGUGAAAGACGGUUUUGCUGUCACUUAUAGAUGGAUCCGCGCCGCAUUAGCUAGUUGGUAAGGUAACGGCUUACCAAGGCAACGAUGCGUAGCCGACCUGAGAGGGUGAUCGGCCACACUGGAACUGAGACACGGUCCAGACUCCUACGGGAGGCAGCAGUAGGGAAUCUUCCGCAAUGGGCGAAAGCUUGACGGAGCAACGCCGCGUGAGUGAUGAAGGUCUUCGGAUCGUAAAACUCUGUUAUUAGGGAAGAACAACUGUGUAAGUAACUAUGCACGUCUUGACGGUACCUAAUCAGAAAGCCACGGCUAACUACGUG
rnacentral:rRNA from 1 species